AAUGAAAAAAUAAAAUAAAAUAAACUGAUCCAUCAUUCAGACUUAAAACUAAUGGAACAGAAGCAAAAACCUAUAACUUUUAAAUUUAAGCAAUAACAUUUACUACAAACAUACAUAAAUAAAAAACACUGAUGUCCGUUGUGCAUUAUAAAUAAGUAUGUCCUAUUAAUAUAAUAAGUCAGUAACUAGGAUGCCACAAACUUUCCUCCAAGAAUGGUACAUACACAUCAUGCGCACCACAGCAGUACAUGCACGUGCAUGGAUAAAGAAGAUUUUCCACUCAACAAAACAAAAAAUAUCCAAUUCCAAGUUAUUUCAUUCGAAUAUCAUAUAUCAGGAGGGAUCAAGCAGCUGCUAAAUAGUAAUACUCCUAUAUCCAAUGAAUUCACCUUGCCAUUAAAUAGGUUGAAGUUAUUUUCCAUAAUACAUGUUAAAAGAAAUGAAAAGAAAUUUAACAGCACCCACAACACAACUUGAUGACCCAAAAUAUUCACAAUUUCAAGGGAGCUAUCAAUUUAUAGUUUAUAACCAUCACAGAACAAAGCCUGACCAGAGUUUGGUUGAAGUGGUUAAUGAUAUCAAGUUAUUUACCAAAAAGCAGAGAAAUAGAAUCAAAUAGAGUUUUCAUCACUCGAUAAUCUAAAACAGCUCCAUUACAUAAAAUCCAUCAGAUGAAAGCAGCAGGAACACAAGUUAAAUUGCACAUAAUUGAUCUAAAAAUUAGGCAAAAUAAAUCAGAUUUUUCGCAAACUUAAUAAUCUCCCAAAAAGCACAAAACAGAAACCAUCAAAUACUUCAAAAUAGGAAAAUCUCCAGGUAUAUCUCAUUACAGAAGCCAACAAAAAGCCACAACCCCAAAUCACAAAAAUGAAAACCCACCCACAGCAGAUAAACAUCAAACGGACAAAACAAAAAAGAAUAAAACCCAUGAGCAGAUUAUACGACAUAACAAACAAAAAGCAGAAGAUCAGAGUCAGGAUAAGAAAAACCCAAAAAGGGUAUGUUGGUAUACGAUCAAGGGACUCACCCACGACACUAGAUCCUCCUGAGCCAAGCGUCAUGGGUGGUUCACAGCAAUUUCCCCGAAGGCGUUAGUUGAGAUCUGAUUGAAGAGAGAGAGAGAGAGGGGUCAGGGGUGGAGAAUCUAGGAAAAGACUGGCGAGGCGACGAAGGCAAAGCAGAGAAUAAAGCAGAGAAAUUGAGGACAAGAGGGGACACAGAUUAAAAAGAAAGGAAAAACAAAAUAAAGUUUACAGGCUACUUGAG
rnacentral:misc_RNA from 1 species